rnacentral:sRNA from 1 species
CGUCCGGGCUAGGAGCUGGAGCCGAUCGGAGACGGAGGAGAUGGCGUCCCAGCCGCCACCUCCCCCAAAACCCUGGGAGACCCGCCGAAUUCCGGGAGCCGGACCGGGACCAGGACCGGGCCCCACUUUCCAGUGAGUGUGGGAUUCUUCAGGCUAUCUGCUGAUUUGGGUCCUACUUUAAUGACAAGACCUGGACAACCAGCACUUACCAGAGUGCCCCCACCUAUUCUUCCAAGGCCAUCACAGCAGACAGGAAGUACCAGUGUGAACACUUUUAGACCUGCUUACAGUUCAUUUUCUUCUGGAUAUGGUGCCUAUGGAAAUUCAUUUUAUGGAGGCUAUAGUCCUUAUAGUUAUGGAUAUAAUGGGCUGGGCUACAACCGCCUCCGUGUAGAUGAUCUUCCACCCAGUAGAUUUGUUCAGCAAGCUGAAGAAAGCAGCAGGGGUGCAUUUCAGUCCAUUGAAAGUAUUGUGCAUGCAUUUGCCUCUGUCAGUAUGAUGAUGGAUGCUACCUUUUCAGCUGUCUAUAACAGUUUCAGGGCUGUAUUGGAUGUAGCAAAUCACUUUUCCCGAUUGAAAAUACACUUUACAAAAGUGUUUU